rnacentral:rRNA from 1 species
UACGUAGGGGGCAAGCGUUGUCCGGAUUUAUUGGGCGUAAAGAGCGUGUAGGCGGCUAGAUAGGUCCGUUGUGAAAACUCGAGGCUCAACCUCGAGACGCCGGUGGAAACCAUCUAGCUAGAGUCCGGAAGAGGAGAGUGGAAUUCCUGGUGUAGCGGUGAAAUGCGCAGAUAUCAGGAGGAACACCAAUGGCGAAGGCAGCUCGCUGGGACGUGACUGACGCUGAGACGCGAAAGCGUGGGGAGCAAACAGG